rnacentral:rRNA from 1 species
UACAGAGGGGGCAAGCGUUGUUCGGAAUUACUGGGCGUAAAGGGCGCGUAGGCGGCUUGCUAAGUCGAACGUGAAAUCCCCGGGCUCAACCCGGGAACUGCGUCCGAUACUGCCAGGCUUGAAUCCGGGAGAGGGAUGUGGAAUUCCAGGUGUAGCGGUGAAAUGCGUAGAUAUCUGGAGGAACACCGGUGGCGAAGGCGGCAUCCUGGACCGGUAUUGACGCUGAUGCGCGAAAGCCAGGGGAGCAAACGGG